rnacentral:misc_RNA from 1 species
AAGUCGUAACAAGGUUUCCGUAGGUGAACCUGCGGAAGGAUCAUUAUUGAAAAUCGUCAGGAAGAUUGGUUCUGUUGCUGGGCUUUCAUCGGCCAUGUGCACGUCUGGUCUUCCUUGACUACUUCAUCCUUAAACACCUGUGCACCUGUAUUCGAGGGAUCGCUGGAAACAGAAGUCCCUUGGAUUCUUUAACAAACUCCUUAUUUUAAUCAAAGAAAGUUCAUUCUGCCGAAAGGCGAAAUCAUAAUACAACUUUUAACAACGGAUCUCUUGGCUCUC